CUGGUGGCGAGCGGCGGACGGGUGAGUAAUGCCUAGGAAUCUGCCUGGUAGUGGGGGAUAACGCUCGGAAACGGACGCUAAUACCGCAUACGUCCUACGGGAGAAAGCAGGGGACCUUCGGGCCUUGCGCUAUCAGAUGAGCCUAGGUCGGAUUAGCUAGUUGGUGAGGUAAUGGCUCACCAAGGCGACGAUCCGUAACUGGUCUGAGAGGAUGAUCAGUCACACUGGAACUGAGACACGGUCCAGACUCCUACGGGAGGCAGCAGUGGGGAAUAUUGGACAAUGGGCGAAAGCCUGAUCCAGCCAUGCCGCGUGUGUGAAGAAGGUCUUCGGAUUGUAAAGCACUUUAAGUUGGGAGGAAGGGCAUUAACCUAAUACGUUGGUGUCUUGACGUUACCGACAGAAUAAGCACCGGCUAACUCUGUGCCAGCAGCCGCGGUAAUACAGAGGGUGCAAGCGUUAAUCGGAAUUACUGGGCGUAAAGCGCGCGUAGGUGGUUUGUUAAGUUGGAUGUGAAAUCCCCGGGCUCACCUGGGAACUGCAUUCAAACUGAAAGCUAGAGUAUGGUAGAGGGUGGUGGAAUUUCCUGUGUAGCGGUGAAUGCGUAGAUAUAGGAAGGAACCCAGUGGCGAGGCGACCCCUGGACUGAUCUGACCUGAGGUGCAAAGCGUGGGAGCAACAGGAUAGAUCCCUGGUAGUCACGCCGUAACGAUGUCACUAGCCUUGGGAGCUUGACUCUAGUGCGCACUACGCAUAAGUUGACCCCUGGGGAUACGCCGCAGGUUAAACUCAAUGAUUGACGGGGCCCCACAGCGGGGAGAUGUGUUUAUUCGAGCACGCGAAAACUUAC
rnacentral:rRNA from 1 species